rnacentral:tRNA from 1 species
UGCCUUGUAGUAUAAUGGUAGUACGACAGAUUCUGGCUCUGUAUGUCAGGGUUCGAAUCCUUGCAAGGCAACUA